AUGGCGCCCAAGGCGGAGAAGAAGCCCGCGGAGAAGAAGCCGGCGGAGGAGAAGGCGCCCAAGGGGGAGAAGAAGCCCAAGGCGGAGAAGCGGCUGCCGGCGGCCAAGGAGGGCGGCGGCGGCGGCUCGGACAAGAAGGCCAAGAAGAAGGCCAAGAAGAGCGUGGAGACGUACAAGAUCUACAUCUUCAAGGUGCUGAAGCAGGUGCACCCGGACAUCGGCAUCUCCUCCAAGGCCAUGUCCAUCAUGAACUCCUUCAUCAACGACAUCUUCGAGAAGCUCGCGCAGGAGGCCGCCAAGCUCGCCAGGUACAACAAGAAGCCCACCAUCACCUCCCGCGAGAUCCAGACCUCCGUCCGCCUCGUCCUCCCCGGCGAGCUCGCCAAGCACGCUGUCUCCGAGGGCACCAAGGCCGUCACCAAGUUCACCUCCUCCUAG
rnacentral:rRNA from 1 species